AUUGAACGCUGGCGGCAUGCUUUACACAUGCAAGUCGAACAGCAGCGCUGUCUUCUGCCUGGCGGCGAGUGGCGAACGGGUGAGUAAUACAUCGGAACGUGCCCAGUAGUGUGUGGUAGCUCGUCGAAAGCCGGGUUAAUACCGCAGACGACCUGAGGGUGAAAGCGGGGGAUCUUCGGACCUCUCGCUAGUGGAGCGGCCGAUGGCAGAUUAGCUAGUUGGUGGGGUAAAGGCCUACCAAGGCGACGAUCGGUAGCUGGUCUGAGAGGACGACCAGCCACACUGGGACUGAGACACGGCCCAGACUCCUACGGGAGGCAGCAGUGGGGAAUUUUGGACAAUGGGCGAAAGCCUGAUCCAGCAAUGCCGCGUGUGUGAUGAAGGCCUUCGGGUUGUAAAGCACUUUUGGCGGGAAUGAAAAGGACUGUGCCAAUACCACGGUUCGAUGACGGUACCCGCAGAAUAAGCACCGGCUAACUACGUG
rnacentral:rRNA from 1 species